GGCUACCGCAGUUCUCUGCCUGCUGCGGUUCACGCCGUACUCUUCCUUAGUCUCGCUGCCACCCGCACUGCGCUCCUUUGUGUUGCCUCACGAUGCUACGGAAUGUUGAGCGCGGCACCAAGGCCGCGGACCUGCCGGCCUGGCAGAGCGGAGGUCCAUUAGGCCACAUCGGCCGCAGGCGCAGUGAGAGGGGCCGGACCCCUUGAAGGCCGCGCCCUGCUCCAGCCUGGCCCCGAGCGGCCCUGCGCUCCAGUGUGAUGGAAUGUCCCAGCAGGUGAAUUGGUGAUAGUCGUAAUGCACGUGAUUUAGGUCUGCCAUUGAAGAGUCCAGGCUGACUGAAGUUGACCUUUCCAGUGAGGGAAGACUCAGGUCAUGACACUGAUGGAACACAGUAUUCUGAGGACCCGGUUACCCCUGGGUUUUACUGGCAGUUCCCGAUAGUGCUGAAGUAUCUGAAGACACCAGCUUUUCCUGGAGCUGUGCUUUACACUAAGAUUUUUUAUCAGUAAAGCUGUCAUCCAUCUCUGAUUGUGGAUCUACAGUUGGGAGAGAGACACUACACAAAGAGGCAAAUGAAGAGACAAGAGGCUCUUUUAGGUGUAAAAACUGACUUUUUGCACAUGUUGGUACAUGGUAUAUAAAUGACCAAUAAAAGACUCCUGGAUAUA